CUCAUUUCCGCUUCUGUCUUUGGGGACAAACACUUUCAGUUUCAUUUAAUCAUAAAGCUUCUUAAUUAGGUUUUUUUUUUUUUUUAAAUUCUGAGCUGCUAAGCUGCCCCUGCCGGAGGGAGUGGAAAUGCUGGCUCCUGCAAGGCCUGGGUCUUCCUGAGCCUGGGAGGAGCUGGUCCGGCUACCCCGGAUGCCCAGUUCCCCCAAGACUCUCCAGGGCCCUGCGAGGGCCGUGCAACGACACCUCCAGCCAGGAUGCGGACACAGCCGAGAUGUGGAAACUGAGGUCCAGAGAGGGUUGUCAGCUGCCCAAAGUCACACCUUUGCCCUGUAACUGGGGUAGUCUCCCUCUGACUCUGGCUCUGGGCUUGGCCGUGUGACUUGCACUGGCCAAGGGAAUAUAAGCAAACAUGAUAUAAGCAGAGGCUUGAAAAAGCCCUCGCAUGAAUCUGCCGGCUGUCUAGGUGCCCUGUGAUUGCCAAGAGAAGAGGCCCAGGCUGACCUGCUGGAGGCCGAGGCACACGGAGCAAAGGGAGCAGAGUUGUUGCCCCAGUUGUCUCUGCCAGGGCCAUUCACGACCAGCUGACAGCAGUCAACCCCAAACAUGCAACAGAGCCCUGACAAAAUCCAAAGAGCUGCUGAGUGACCUGGAGUAGAUGGAGCACAAACAUACGAAUGCUCCCCGCCGAGACCCAUCCAGCCAGGAGACUGACGAGCUAGGCAGCCAAAGCCAAUCUUAGCUGAUAGUCUAGGCGGGCAGUGCCUCCCCAGCAGGACACUUGGGAGGAUCAAAGAGGACGACACGUGCAGAGGGCUCGGCCCGAGGAGGGAAGUGCCCGCUCCCUCUGUCUUCCUUUCCCCAGGCAUGGGCCGCGCUGGGGGCUCUCUUGGCCUGUCUCUUUCUGAUCCUCUUCGCCCCCAGGGAGAGAAGUAGGUGAGUACAUGCUCAUGCCAGUGCUAGAGACUGAGCCACUGUGCCCGCUCCACAGGAGGCUGAAAGGAUCAGAGGAGAACACGGCUGGCAGAAAGGGCUUUGGGAAGUUGAAAGCCUUUCCAUGAGAAAGCCAUGCGGAGUGGUGUCACGGACAGAGGCUGUAACACCUGGUGAGGGUGUUGGAGACCAGCUCUGCCAAGGACCUGCUGUACCAUCUUGGGCAGCCACUUAGGAAUCUCCCUGAGCCUCUGUUUUCCUCUUUAUAAAAGGAGGUGUUUGCAUGGGAUGAAUGUGGAUGUGCUUUAAUCUGACUCUGUGAUAGGCAGAAUAACAGCCCCCAAAGAUGUCCACAGCUAAGCCUGGAAUCUGGGAAUAUGUUGUUUUACACGGCAAAAGGGACUUUGCAGAAGUGAUGAAGGUUACGGCCCUUGAGAUAGGGGAUUAUCCCGGAUUACCUAGGAAGACCCAAUCUAAUCACUUGAGUCCUUAAGAGGAGAAUCUCUCCCAGAUGAGAGUCAGACCUGAGAGCUGGAGGAUGAGGAGGACCUGACGCCCUGUUGCUGCUUUUGAGAUUCAGGAGACUUUGUGCAAGGAUGAGAGAGAGGCCCCUGGGAGCUAGGGGACCUCCCAGCUGACAGUCAGAAAGGAAACAGAGACCUCAUUCCUACAAACACAUGGAGCUGAAUUCUGCUAACACCUGAAUGAGUGAGGAAACAGAUCGUCCCUUAGAGCCACCAGCAAGGAACACAGCCCUGCUGACACCUUAGUUUUAGCCUGAUGAGAUCCAGACUAGACUUCUGACCCAUGGAACUGUAAGAUAAGAACUCCAUGUCAUUCUAAGUUGCUAAGUUUGUGGUAUUUUGUCGUAGCAGCAGUAGAAGGUUAACACACCUUCUGAUUUCAUUUUAAGCCGAGCUGCUGAGUAUUGUACCAGGUGCUUUGUCCACAUUAUUAAUACCCUGGCAACUAUCUUGCAAAACUGGGGUGAUGCCCAUUUCGAAGGUGAGGACACUGAGGUUCAGAGAAGUGAGGUUUCCUGGACAGCCUGAUCCCAUAACUUGGAAAGGGGCAGGCUGGAUGAGGGCGGAGUUUGUCAAGCCCAGCGCUAAUGCCUUUUCUCCCACACAACCCCCUAGGACAUGACAACAGGGGAUCUUCCUAACUGCUCAGCUAGUAAGGGUGGCCUCAAAGGCUGCGUUCGCUCGGCCAGGCUGUGGUGCAGACGGGCCGGGCGCACAGCCUGCCUCACCCCUGCAGAGGACUUGGCUCCAGCCCAUACCGGGCCCUGAUCAUGCAGUAAUGUAAUUAUUCCGGCUCUGCUGGUGACUGCCUGGUGACUGGGGGCUAGAGCACAGACGGGACUGCGACUCUCAGCUUCGACCACACAGAUGAGCAUGGAGGCUGGUGAGACAAGACUGAAGGAACCCAGGUCCCUGAACCUCCCAAUGGAUCAGAGCUACCCUGCUGACUUGGACUGCUCACCCUCGGACUCUUAUAUGAGAGAGAAACAAACGCAUUUCUAUGUUCUUUAAGCCACCAAAUGCUGGGCCCUUUUGUUAUAGCAGCUUCCCUUUCACCUUCAAUAAAACAUGUUCAACAAA